ACCCAUGCAAGUCGAGCGGUAGCACAGAGAGCUUGCUCUCGGGUGACGAGCGGCGGACGGGUGAGUAAUGUCUGGGAAACUGCCUGAUGGAGGGGGAUAACUACUGGAAACGGUAGCUUUACCCGCAUAAUGUCGCAAGACCAAAGUGGGGGACCUUCGGGCCUCAUGCCAUCAGAUGUGCCCCAGAUGGGAUUAGCUAGUUAGGUGGGGUAACGGCUCAAAUCCCUAGGCGACGAUCCCUAGCUGGUCUGAGAGGGAUGACCAGCCACACUGCCAGGACACGGUCCAGACUCCUACGGGAGGCAGCAGUGGGGAAUAUUGCACAAUGGGCGCAAGCCUGAUGCAGCCAUGCCGCGUGUGUGAAGAAGGCCUUCGGGUUGUAAAGCACUUUCAGCGGGGAGGAAGGCGGUGAGGUUAAUAACCUCAUCGAUUGACGUUACCCGCAGAAGAAGCACCGGCUAACUCCGUGCCAGCAGCCGCGGUAAUACGGAGGGUGCAAGCGUUAAUCGGAAUUACUGGGCGUAAAGCGCACGCAGGCGGUCUGUCAAGUCGGAUGUGAAAUCCCCGGGCUCAACCUGGGAACUGCAUUCGAAACUGGCAGGCUAGAGUCUUGUAGAGGGGGGUAGAAUUCCAGGUGUAGCGGUGAAAUGCGUAGAGAUCUGGAGGAAUACCGGUGGCGAAGGCGGCCCCCUGGACAAAUAGUGACGCUCAGGUGCGAAAGCGUGGGGAGCAAACAGGAUUAGAUACCCUGGUAGUCCACGCCGUAAACGAUGUCGAUUUGGAGGUUGUGCCCUUGAGGCGUGGCUUCCGGAGCUAACGCGUUAAAUCGACCGCCUGGGGAGUACGGCCGCAAGGUUAAAACUCAAAUGAAUUGACGGGGGCCCGCACAAGCGGUGGAGCAUGUGGUUUAAUUCGAUGCAACGCGAAGAACCUUACCUGGUCUUGACAUCCACAGAACUUUCCAGAGAUGGAUUGGUGCCUUCGGGAACUGUGAGACAGGUGCUGCAUGGCUGUCGUCAGCUCGUGUUGUGAAAUGUUGGGUUAAGUCCCGCAACGAGCGCAACCCUUAUCCUUUGUUGCCAGCGGUUCGGCCGGGAACUCAAAGGAGACUGCCAGUGAUAAACUGGAGGAAGGUGGGGAUGACGUCAAGUCAUCAUGGCCCUUACGACCAGGGCUACACACGUGCUACAAUGGCAUAUACAAAGAGAAGCGACCUCGCGAGAGCAAGCGGACCUCAUAAAGUAUGUCGUAGUCCGGAUUGGAGUCUGCAACUCGACUCCAUGAAGUCGGAAUCGCUAGUAAUCGUAGAUCAGAAUGCUACGGUGAAUACGUUCCCGGGCCUUGUACACACCGCCCGUCACACCAUGGGAGUGGGUUGCAAAAGAAGUAGGUAGCUUAACCUUCGGGAGGGCGCUACC
rnacentral:rRNA from 1 species